rnacentral:tRNA from 1 species
GCCUGGGUGGCUCAGUCAGUUGGGCAUCUGACUUCAGCUCAGGUCACCAUCUCACCACUUGUGAGUUCAAGCCCCGCGUCAGGCU